rnacentral:lncRNA from 13 species
CGCGGUGAUAUACGCACCGUCGGGACAUUUGAAGACGCAGUUCUCCUCGACGGCGGCGUCGAAUACUUCGUGUAUGUCCUUGAUCUUCUUCGCCACGGUGAUGGCGUUGGCGAACAGGUCCUGGAAGACUGUCUCCGCCGCCAGCACGGCGUCCCGCAGAUUCGUCAGCAGCCCAGCACCGUAGCCGGACCAAGCGUACGCGAGGAAUCUCGCCGCUCUCGUACAAUUUCUUGACAUCGGUACCGCCGCCUAAGCAUUCUCCAUUGAGGAAUACCCUGGGCACUGUCCUGGCACCAGUUAUUUCGCCCAACACAUCUUGUAUCUCCGCUGCGUCUUCCCUAUCGUCUAACUCUAUCGCCGUGUAUUUCUUCUUCAACGAGUCAAACACCUGCACAAAAAUUCGAUAAAAAUAGAAUCUAGAUACCUUCUUGGCCAUUGUGCAGUAAGGACAAUACGUCUUGGAGAAUAUGACGACCGAGUCCUUGGCGAUGAGUUCGUUGACGAGAUCUCGUGUAGAAGGCAUGAUAGACCUUUUUGUACUGGAAACUGAACCCAUUCUAUUGAGCCGAGAGGAUCAUUUCUCUCGAUUGCGCUUCGACACUUUAGCCUCGCCUUAACAUUCGCGGUCAAUUAUGAGAGAUUCGAAUCGCGUCCGAUGUCUGGAGUCUGACAGAAAACUUGCGUUCAAAGAGCUAUGAGCAAGAUUGGAUGUUUACGCGUAAAAUACAUUAUAUAAAUACAUAACAUGUAUACAAUGUGAACUAUGUAAACUUUGUUUUAUGUGUUACCUGUAAACAAUAAGUGUCUACAUACAUAAUCUCAUAUGGAGUAUUGAAAGUAUAGAAACUUUAUCAAAUACAAUAAAAAUACUGUUUA